UACGAAGGUGGCAAGCGUUGUUCGGAUUUACUGGGCGUACAGGGCGCGUAGGCGGUUGGAUAAGCCCUCCGUGAAAUCUCCAGGCUUAACCUGGAAAGUGCAGAGGGGACUGUUCAGCUAGAGGAUGGGAGAGGAGCGCGGAAUUCCCGGUGUAGCGGUGAAAUGCGUAGAGAUCGGGAGGAAGGCCGGUGGCGAAGGCGGCGCUCUGGGACAUUUCUGACGCUGAGGCUCGAAAGCGUGGGGAGCAAACAGG
rnacentral:rRNA from 1 species